GGGGCCACUAGGGGCGCAUCGGAAGAUGGCUGACAAUAACAUAUCUCCGACCCACAGGAGGUAAUUAGGAGGCUGUGAUGGGAGUAAAUAGCCUCCCUACCCCCCCCCCCCAGGAUUGUGGGGGGGGCUGCCUUUGCCUGCUGUGCCCUAUACCACCCCCGAAUUUGUGGGGAUGGGGGCACUAGGCAGAAUGCCCUCCUGUGGAUUUCGGUGCUCCUGGACGCAGUCUCUGAUCCGCGCCGCUAGCUGCAAGAACUUCAAAAGGAAUAAUUAGGAAGAAGUGAAUGCACAUAUUUCAAGGAAGGAGGGGGAGUAAAGACUGCUAACUGAAGAGUUCUCUGAUAAACAAGACGAGUCGGAGGAACAAGAAUCAAUCAUGAGAAGAUAUGCCAAGACUCGGUAUGGCAAAGGGACUGGAUGGGGGAGGGGAAAAAACUUUCCUUUCUUUCCUCUAUGCGAUUAAAUAAGAAUCCCCCCCCACACAAGUCAGAAAUGCCGUUUUAAUGACUUAAGCUGUGGAUUUACGACUGUGUGGAGAUGAAUUUUCUAACCAAAGCAUGUUUUAAGAAGAGCGUGGAAAGUUUAAGAGCUUUGGAAUGACGCAGUUAAAAAUACCGUCGCCAUGAUGGCCAGCUCUGUCGGAGGACUUGAGUCUGGGAGGAGGAAAAAAGAUGUUUUUAUAUUGUGAGUGACUCCUCAGUGGAACUUAAGAACGACAGAUCCUGAGAUUAAUGAUGGAAAGAGCGAUGUUAUUUAUGAAAGUGAUGAUAUAUGGAAACCAUCUCGAUACGAGGAUUGGACGAACGGAAAAAUCCACACAGGAUAUAAUUGGUGUUUAUCUGCUUAAGGAGAUUAUCAGAAGAGAUCAU